UACGAAGGGGGCUAGCGUUGCUCGGAAUCACUGGGCGUAAAGCGCACGUAGGCGGAUUGCUAAGUCAGGGGUGAAAUCCUGGAGCUCAACUCCAGAACUGCCCUUGAUACUGGCGGUCUCGAGUCCGGGAGAGGUGAGUGGAACUGCGAGUGUAGAGGUGAAAUUCGUAGAUAUUCGCAAGAACACCAGUGGCGAAGGCGGCAUCCUGGACCAACACUGACGCUGAGUGAGCGAAAGCCAGGGGAGCAAACGGG
rnacentral:rRNA from 1 species